UACAGAGGUCCCAAGCGUUGUUCGGAUUUACUGGGCGUAAAGGGUGCGUAGGUGGUCGGGUGAGUCUGAUGUGAAAUCUCCGAGCUUAACUCGGAAACUGCAUCGGAUACUAUCCGGCUUGAGGAAUGGAGGGGAGAUUGGAAUUCUCGGUGUAGCAGUGAAAUGCGUAGAUAUCGAGAGGAACACCAGUGGCGAAGGCGGAUCUCUGGACAUUUCCUGACGCUGAGGCACGAAAGCCAGGGGAGCAAACGGG
rnacentral:rRNA from 1 species